GAUGAAGAACGUAGUGAAAUGCGAUACGUAAUGUGAAUUGCAGAAUUCAGUGAAUCAUCGAGUCUUUGAACGCACAUUGCGCCCCCUGGUAUUCCGGGGGGCAUGCCUGUCCGAGCGUCAUUGCUGCCCUCAAGCACGGCUUGUGUGUUGGGCCUCCGCCCCCCGGCUCCCGGGGGGCGGGCCCGAAAGGCAGCGGCGGCACCGCGUCCGGUCCUCGAGCGUAUGGGGCUUCGUCACCCGCUCCGUAGGCCCGGCCGGCGCCCGCCGGCGACCCCCCUCAAUCUUUCCAGGUUGACCUCGGAUCAGGUAGGGAUACCCGCUGAACUUAAGCAUAUCAAUAAGCGGAGGA
rnacentral:misc_RNA from 1 species